rnacentral:rRNA from 1 species
UACGGGAGGCAGCAGUGGGGAAUAUUGCACAAUGGGCGCAAGCCUGAUGCAGCCAUGCCGCAUGUAUGAAGAAGGCCUUCGGGUUGUAAAGUACUUUCAGUCGUGAGGAAGGUGUUAAGGUUAAUAACCUUAGCAAUUGACGUUAGCGACAGAAGAAGCACCGGCUAACUCCGUGCCAGCAGCCGCGGUAAUACGGAGGGUGCGAGCGUUAAUCGGAAUUACUGGGCGUAAAGGGCACGCAGGCGGUUAAUUAAGUUGGAUGUGAAAUCCCCGGGCUUAACCUGGGAAUGGCAUUCAAGACUGGUUAGCUAGAGUCUUGUAGAGGGGGUAGAAUUCCAUGUGUAGCGGUGAAAUGCGUAGAGAUGUGGAGGAAUACCGGUGGCGAAGGCGGCCCCUGGACAAAGACUGACGCUCAUGUGCGAAAGCGUGGGGAGCAAACAGGAUUAGAUACC